UGCGAGGUUGUACCUGUACUCUAGAGCAGC
rnacentral:piRNA from 1 species